UACCUUAUCCUUUGUCUCCAUUUCGUCGCUUCGGAACAAACGACGCUCAAAUCUUCUUCGAACCUGCAUGCGAAAUGAAUUCACCUUCCACAGAUCUUCAAUGAAAUGAAUCGAAGGUUCUAUCAGAUCUACCGAGUUAUGUAUUAGCUUCGUCAAUCAAAAGCCAUAAGGUUAGUCUCAUUGUGUUGUCCCCAAAGAUCUGGAAUAUCCGUUCUUAAUUUAUCGAAGUUUGAUUCAUUUGUGAAAUUAAUUUUUGCAUCAGAUCCCUGGGAAUGUACAAAUAAAUCAGAUCAAACUCUUACGGUGUCUGUAAAUGGAGAAGAACCAUUUGUUCUGAAAUAAGAGAAGAUGCGGCAAAAGAGCACAGGGAGCUUCAGUCGUUCAGCUAAGUUCUCAUUGCCUCAGUAUGUUUGCAAAUAGAAAACAAACACUCAAAAAAAGAAAUUUCAAUUGACAUAAAUUUCUUUUCGUUGAACCUCAGAACAUGUGUCUUUUCCCUGGAUCAGCUCCAUAUAACACCUUCAGGCCAGGUACAAAUCCUCACUCCUUCGAUGUAAAUAAGGUAUGUUCUGUACAGGUUAUGCGGGUUUGAAUCAGAUCAAACGCACAAUCCAAACCGAAAUGGAAAGAGUAGGAUUUAAUUUCCUCCAAAUCUAUGAUGAAAAGGGUCAUCUUUAUAACAAAUGUGUUAUGUUUUGCUGUAAUCUACAAACAUUUCAUCGGUUCUUAUUUUUAUAAAACUACGUAAAUGUGUUCUUCAACUGGAUUAGACAAACAAAAGGUCUCGGAUUAAACAGGGAAACAUAUAUAAAGUGUACUUGUCGAUAUUAGCAAUGCCUAUAAUUUGGUAGUCAGUAUAUGUAAUCUUAAAAGCUUCUGUAAUGGAUAAUAGUUAUAUUGCAGAGAGAUUGACAAUCAAGAGAAAGAUUGUAGAUUGAAAGCUCAGCCGUUGUCUACUAAUCAGG
rnacentral:lncRNA from 1 species